CUUAGGCUUUCAGCAAGUAAAAGGGGCUUUAAGGAAAAAGAGCUUUAAAAAAGCUUUUCCGUAAGAUAAUGCCGGGGAAGGUUUUCCGGUUUAUCCCGGAGGGGCUUGUAGCUCAGUUGGUUAGAGCGCGCGCUUGAUAAGCGUGAGGUCGGAGGUUCAAGUCCUCCCAGGCCCACCAUUUUGUAUCAAUCUAUAAGCGCUUGUAGAACUUUCUUCUAUAAGGCUUUCUUGUAUAUUUAUAUGAAGCUUAUCUACGAAGAAGUUUCCUUAUCAAAAUGUGAAGUUUCUUUCCUUUGCUUAAGCAAUCGGGAGUUAAAGCGGUUCAAACGAACAGUGAUCCCAUAAAGGGUAAUGUUGAAUUGAAAAAUCUCAUUUACAAGUUUUGAACCUUUUCUCUUUAUUUAGGGGCCGUAGCUCAGCUGGGAGAGCACCUGCUUUGCAAGCAGGGGGUCGUCGGUUCGAUCCCGUCCGGCUCCACCAUUUAGGUCAUCAUCAUUGUUGUGAGAACACUCUUUAGUGAAAGGUUA
rnacentral:tRNA from 1 species